CCUACGGGAGGCAGCAGUGAGGAAUAUUGGUCAAUGGCCGGAAGGCUGAACCAGCCAAGCCGCGUGAAGGACGAAGGUGCCAAGCAUUGUAAACUUCUUUUGUCAAGGGAAAAAAUCAGGCUCGAGAGCAUGACCGAGGGUCCUUGAAGAAAAAGCAUCGGCUAACUCCGUGCCAGCAGCCGCGGUAAUACGGAGGGUGCGAGCGUUAUCCGGAUUUAUUGGGUUGAGAGGGUGCGUAGGGGGACGGUUGAGGCAGCGGUAAAAGCCGGGGGCUCAACCCCGGCGAGCCUUUGAAACUGGCUGUCUUGAGAUGUCGAGAGGUAUGCGGAAUGCGCAGUGUAGCGGUGAAAUGCUUAGAUAUUGCGCAGAACUCCGAUUGCGAAGGCAGCAUACCGGCGGCGAUCUGACGCUGAGGCACGAAAGCGUGGGUAUCGAACAGGAUUAGAUACCCUGGUAGUC
rnacentral:rRNA from 1 species